rnacentral:rRNA from 1 species
AGCGAACGCUGGCGGCAGGCUUAACACAUGCAAGUCGAACGCCCCGCAAGGGGAGUGGCAGACGGGUGAGUAACACGUGGGAACGUACCCUUUGGUUCGGAAUAACUUGGGGAAACUCAAGCUAAUACCGGAUAAGCCCUUAUGGGGAAAGGUUUACUGCCGAAGGAUCGGCCCGCGUCUGAUUAGCUAGUUGGUGAGGUAAUGGCUCACCAAGGCGACGAUCAGUAGCUGGCCUGAGAGGAUGAUCAGCCACACUGGGACUGAGACACGGCCCAGACUCCUACGGGAGGCAGCAGUGGGGAAUAUUGGACAAUGGGGGCAACCCUGAUCCAGCCAUGCCGCGUGAGUGAUGAAGGCCUUAGGGUUGUAAAGCUCUUUUACCCGGGACGAUAAUGACUGUACCGGGAGAAUAAGCCCCGGCUAACUUCGUGCCAGCCGCCGCCGUAAAAC